rnacentral:tRNA from 1 species
GUCUCCGUGGCUUAGAGGAAUAGACGCGCCCGUCUAUCGAAUCGGUAGUCAUGGGUUCGAUUCCCCUCGGAGACC